rnacentral:lncRNA from 1 species
UGGGCAGAAUCAUAUGGAGCAGUUUGGCAGGCUCCAUCCACCUCUCCCAUGAGCACUUGCUUCAGUUCUUGAUGCAACGCCGUCAGCUGUCCCUCGGGUGCAGCGUCCCUGCCUCGUGCACCGUCCUUACAAGACGAGGUGUAGAUGGGGUGAGCGGAGGGAAGUCGGUCAUCGGUCCUGCACUUGUGAGCUGAAAUACCUGCUGAGCACUGGACUUGUCCUUGGUACUGUGUUGGGCUGUGGUCUAAGACACUACUUCGAUGAACCGCCUGAGAAACAGGGACAAAGCGCCAUUAAACCUGCCAGCUGUGCCUCAAAUUCCUGUAUGGAAACUCAGUCAUUAGCUCUUCAUGUGAACCUGUUUGGCUGCAAAUGA